GGCCCAAGGAAAGACAUUCCAGGAGGCAG
rnacentral:piRNA from 1 species